AUGAGGGAGAAAGUGGAGAGAAAAGGAAGAUGUACAGAAAUUCGAGCUGAACAGUGGAGGUGGAAGGGGACUGGAAGUGCAGAGACACUGAGAUUUCUGUCUCCAAGGCAAAGGAAGAAGUUCCACCUUAAGAUGUCAUUAAAGAAGUUGGAAGAAGAGGAGGGCUAUUUCUUGGGAGCUUCUUUAAUCUCAAGAUCAAGAAAGUUUCACUCAACUCCAGCUUCCUUCUUGAGUUGUCAUCUCUUCUAGUUAAGCCUCCACAACCAUCUCGGAAUAUGAAAAUCAUUUGAGAAAGUUAAAAAAUACCUAGUGUCAGAGUCUUACUCUAGACCAGUGAAAUCAGAAUCAUCCAGGCUUUGGCAGCUUCAGAAGUUCUCCGGAUGACUCCAAUAUUCCAGCAGGGUUAAGAACCACUGGUUAUGUCCUCAUCAUGUGACACCUGGGCUUCAGGCAUAUCUGUGAGCCAUCUGCUUGGCUCAUUCUCUUCUCCCUUGGAUUAAAUGUGACCUACUGCUUA
rnacentral:lncRNA from 1 species